UAGUAAGAAAAAGGCAUCAAUUUCGAGUCUUGAAACCGGAAUGUAUUCAUAACAUUAGUGUGGCAUACUACCCUGCUAAUAUAGGAACCUUUUGCAACAUGAAAAACAUGCUCCACAUUUCGUUUUUGGAUCGAUUUACAUGUAAAACGAAACAUGACUCGAAAACACUGCCUCGAGACUUUGCAGGUAUACGGGUAUAGAAUGUCCCUAUGUGCAGAGCAUCUUGGUGAGCUAAAUAAGUGUUUCGAGGAACCAGAAACUCUAGAAUGUGUGAAGACAGUAAACACAAUUGCCGAAGAUAACUGGAAGAAAUUUACAGAUACCGAUUAUUCGGCAUUGCAGGGCCAUCUUAUGAGGUAUCCUUUGGAAGUAGAUAUUGACGGGAAAGUGAAACCACUCCCU
rnacentral:lncRNA from 1 species